AUGCGCCCACGGAGACGUGGACGGCCCAUGAGCCGGCUCUCCCUGCCUCGGCGGGGGGCUGAGACGAGUGUGGAGCCCAAUCACAGGGGGCCGGCUCUGGGUCAAUUGGCUAAUCUCACAGUUAUUCACUUGGUCCUUAAUUGGAUUAACAGAACGGGGCUUACACUCCUGUGGCACCACCUUUUUUUUUUUGGGUUUUACACAUAUAAACUUAUUCUAAUUUUGGUUUUACACGCAUAA
rnacentral:rRNA from 1 species